UUGCGUAAACGGAAUGGCAUUAUCAUAGUACAUACAUGAGGCACGAAAGCUUGUCGUCACUAACGGUAGUAGCUUCAUCGACGCGUGCCCAUUAACUUCAGGAAAGCCUAGCGGAAUCCGUGUAAAGCCCGCUUUCGCACAUCGCAAAACGUGUACUCGCGUUGCCCUCGAAUCGUCGGCUUCACCUUUGCACUUGCACCAACUCGGAUACAUGCUGUUCUUUCACACGGUCACUUGGCUUGUACUCUGACUUUAUCGGUAUGCGCAGACAUGCGAAUAUAUGCGGAUAAAGAAAAAGGAAAAGAACCCCCAGAAGUCGUCUCUUCUUCGUUCUCAGGAUUAUCUUGCCUACGCUCCAUUACGCUUGGCCCAUGUGUUAGUUAUUAUUUCUCGAUCAUUUAUACGCCGUGAGACAGUACGAAAGAAAGAGAGAGAGAGAGAGAGAGAGAGAGAGAGAGAGAGAGAAAGAGAGAGAGAGAGAUAGGGUUAGGAUAUAACACGACGAGGCCGUUAUGUUAAUAUUAUGUAAAUUAGCAGGAAAUUGUAGGAAGAUGUACAUUAUACGUGUAACGUUACGGACCGUCCGUCGUAGGUAUCGAUCGACCCUAAUACGUCGCCAUCUCUUUAUCGAGCUGAAAAUAUGACGCGUUUAUAGAAUUUUUAUAGGACACACGGCAUUACAUUUUUUAUCUUACAAACGGAAUUCUCAAACAAAGAAUCAUAUUUGUUAUAUACGAGUUAAUCGA